UACGUAGGGUGCAAGCGUUGUCCGGAAUUAUUGGGCGUAAAGGGCUCGUAGGCGGUUUGUCGCGUCGGGAGUGAAAACUCAGGGCUUAACCCUGAGCCUGCUUCCGAUACGGGCAGACUAGAGGUAUGCAGGGGAGAGUGGAAUUCCUGGUGUAGCGGUGAAAUGCGCAGAUAUCAGGAAGAACACCCGUGGCUAAGGCGGCUCUCUAGUACGGUACUGACGCUGAGACGCGAAAGCGUGGGGAGCGAACAGG
rnacentral:rRNA from 1 species